rnacentral:rRNA from 1 species
AGCGAACGCUGGCGGCAGGCUUAACACAUGCAAGUCGAGCGGACCUUUCGGGGUCAGCGGCGGACGGGUGAGUAACGCGUGGGAACAUGCCUUCCGGUUCGGAAUAACCCUGGGAAACUAGGGCUAAUACCGGAUACGCCCUUAUGGGGAAAGGUUUACUGCCGGAAGAUCGGCCCGCGUCUGAUUAGCUAGUUGGUGGGGUAACGGCCCACCAAGGCGACGAUCAGUAGCUGGUCUGAGAGGAUGAUCAGCCACACUGGGACUGAGACACGGCCCAGACUCCUACGGGAGGCAGCAGUGGGGAAUAUUGGACAAUGGGCGCAAGCCUGAUCCAGCCAUGCCGCGUGAGUGAUGAAGGCCUUAGGGUUGUAAAGCUCUUUUAUCCGGGACGAUAAUGACGGUACCGGAGGAAUAAGCCCCGGCUAACUUCGUG